rnacentral:rRNA from 1 species
CGAGAAGCGAAUAAGCUAGACUUGGGUUAAGGGCCCUAAAUGUUGAUUAAGUGUAAAAAGCGAAGGACGUCGUAUCGCUAAGACAAUGAGGUGGUAGGCUUAGAAGCAGCAAUCCACUAACAAAAGCGUAACAGCUUACUCAUCGAGCGGUACGGCUCUGAAAAUGGACGGGGCUAAAAUCAACUCCCGAUACCCAAGGGCACCGUUUAGAACGGUGAUCCGGUAUACCGGCGUUUGGCGAGGGUAGAAGCAGGUUGGAAAUGACCUGUGGACCUCGUUGAAGUGCAGAUCCUGGUAGUAGUAGGCAGAUAUAUGGGUGAGAACCCCAUAGGUCGAAAAGGCUAGGGUUCCUGGACAAUGUCCAUCAGUCCAGGGUCAGUCGAUCCUAAGAAAGACCUUAGUAUGGCUCUUUCAAAAGGGAAACAGGUUUAAUAUUCCUGUACCGCGUGUGAAGUCGGCAACGAUAUCGACAGAUCAGACGGUUGUGGAUAGGUGGUCUUAGUUUCCAUAGCUAAGUUAAGUGUAUAUGUCCGACGAGUAGUGUUGCACUGAGACUCGGAUGAAAUCACGAAUAGGCGGAAUAUAUUAAUUCGCUACCAUCGAUUUCCAAAACCCCAUGAAAAUGAUCUGUCGUUGUAGCACGCGAUCGUACCAAAAACCGACACGGGUGUCCUUAGGCUUAGAAGGCUAAGACCUCUUGGAGUAAUCUAGGCAAGGGAAUUCGGCAAAAUAGAUGGGUAACUACGGGAUAACCAUUGCCUUUAGCUGUCACAAGCGGCCGAAGGUGUCACUAACAAAGGGAACCCGACUGUUUAACAAAAACAUAGCAAACUGCUAGGGCGAAAGCCUGUGUAUAGUUUGUGUAUCCUGCUCAGUGCCCGUAAGUCAAAUCCCCGUACAAGGGGGCUAAGCUCGGGUUAACAGCGGGAGUAACCAUGACUCUCUUAAGGUAGGCAAAUGCCUUGUCGGAUAAUUACCGACGUCCAUGAAGGGACCAACGAGGUUCCCACUGUCCCUGCCUAGAAUCCAGUGAACCUGCGAUCCGGCGAACAGACCGGAUAGCCCAGUUGGGAAGAGAAGACCCUGAGAGCUUUACUACAGCUUCCAGCUGUUCAUUUGGCGACCAUACAGAGCGUAGUCAGGAGCGUCGAACCAAGGUCUCCGGGCCUUGGGGAUGCGACCAUGGAACACUGACUAUGGUCGUUGAAUGGACUUACCCGUUGCGACGGGGACACCUGGUGGUGGGUAGUUUUGCUGGGGCGGCAAACCUCCGAUAAGAAAACAGAGGUGCCCAAAGGUCAGCUCAGGAGGGACAGAAAUCCUCCGUAGAGUGCAAGGGCAUAAGCUGGCUUUACCGUGAACGUACCAAUAGCGUUCGCUGUUACGAAAGUAGGGCCUAGCGAUCCAUCCGAUUGUCCUUAGUAGACGCGGGUGGUGACAGAAAAGUUACCUCAGGGGUAACAGAGUUGUCGUGCGUUAGAGUUCCCUAUCGCUAAGGAAUUCUAAACUUAUAAUUCAAAUUACCUCCACCAGUGCACAGCUGCAGUAAACGGUUUCACAACCAUUUAAAGGUCUUCUAUCAUCCUCACAUUUUUAAUAGACGCAAGUCGAUGAUUUAAAAAUUGGCUGAACUCAGAAGUCCUUUAAACCCGAAAGCCGAUCAAUGCUGUGUACUUCUCAGCUUCUGAUUGUAGAGCUGCAACGGUAGGCGAUGAACACAUCGACCGCACGGCUUGCUUCCUCGAUGUCGGCUCUUCCUCGUUUGGUGUUGCACAAGGCACCAGGAAUAGGGUUGUUCGCCCGUUAAAAGGGAACGUGAGCUGGGUUCAGACCGUUGUGAGACAGGUUGGUUUCUAUCUAACUGGGCUGUUGGGUA